rnacentral:tRNA from 1 species
AUGUGGUUCUGUGGAAGAGCACCUGCCUGGCAUGCAUGAAGACCUGGGUUCAAUCCCCAGUGU